rnacentral:rRNA from 1 species
UACGGAGGGUGCGAGCGUUGUCCGGAAUCAUUGGGCGUAAAGGGCGCGUAGGUGGCCCGGUCAGUUCGUGGUGAAAGCGCGGGGCUCAACCCUGCGUCGGCCAUGAAUACUGCCGCGGCUGGAGCACUGUAGAGGCAGGCGGAAUUCCGGGUGUAGCGGUGGAAUGCGUAGAGAUCCGGAAGAACACCGGUGGCGAAGGCGGCCUGCUGGGCCAGUUGCUGGACACUGAGGCGCGACAGCGUGGGGAGCAACAGG